UUUAAAAUAUUGAAAUAAAUAUGAAUGCAAUGCAGGCUGUAUUAGAAUUAACAAAGUGUUUAAUAGAAUCUUCGGAUAGUGAUUCUUCGGACAGUGAAGACGAUAUAUUAUUAAGUUUAAUAAAUGAAAAAUGCUUAACUAAACGUGCGCGGUGUCAAAAUUAUCUUGAAGAUGUGGUUCCAUUAUACACAGACAAAGAAUUUCAAAUGCAUUUUAGAUGAAACGAAAUACUUUUACAUAUUUGCUGGAAUUAAUAAAACCAGAUUUAUGUAGAAAAAAUGAUUUGGGUAGAAAUACCAUAACUCCUGAAAAACAAUUAUUAAUUGCUAUUUGGAUGAUGGCCACAUCAAACUCUUAUAGAUGUGUUCCAGACAGAUUCAAUGUAGGAAAAGCCACAGCAUGGAGAAGUGUACAUAAAGUUGUUAAUUGUUUAUAUGCAAGAGUAGCAACAUUUAUUUCUUGGCCAACUAUGGAAGAAACAGAAAAACAAUGAAUACAAUAGAACAGAAGUAUGGGUUUCCAGGAA